UUUAUGGAGAGUUUGAUCCUGGCUCAGAGUGAACGCUGGCGGCGUGCUUAACACAUGCAAGUCGAACGAGAACGGGUUAUAGCUUGCUAUAAUUGUCAGCUAAGUGGCGCACGGGUGAGUAAUGUAUAGGUAAUAUGCCUCUUACUAAGGGAUAACAAAUGGAAACGUUUGCUAAUACCUUAUACUCCUUAUUAACUUAAGUUAAUAAGGGAAAGAUUUAUUGGUAAGAGAUUAGCCUGUAUUGUAUCAGUUAGUUGGUGGGGUAAUGGCCUACCAAGACAAUGACGCAUAACUGGUUUGAGAGGAUGAUCAGUCACACUGGAACUGAGACA
rnacentral:rRNA from 1 species